rnacentral:rRNA from 1 species
AGCGGACAGAUGGGAGCUUGCUCCCUGAUGUUAGCGGCGGACGGGUGAGUAACACGUGGGUAACCUGCCUGUAAGACUGGGAUAACUCCGGGAAACCGGGGCUAAUACCGGAUGGUUGUUUGAACCGCAUGGUUCAAACAUAAAAGGUGGCUUCGGCUACCACUUACAGAUGGACCCGCGGCGCAUUAGCUAGUUGGUGAGGUAACGGCUCACCAAGGCAACGAUGCGUAGCCGACCUGAGAGGGUGAUCGGCCACACUGGGACUGAGACACGGCCCAGACUCCUACGGGAGGCAGCAGUAGGGAAUCUUCCGCAAUGGACGAAAGUCUGACGGAGCAACGCCGCGUGAGUGAUGAAGGUUUUCGGAUCGUAAAGCUCUGUUGUUAGGGAAGAACAAGUACCGUUCGAAUAGGGCGGUACCUUGACGGUACCUAACCAGAAAGCCACGGCUAACUACGUGCCAGCAGCCGCGGUAAUACGUAGGUGGCAAGCGUUGUCCGGAAUUAUUGGGCGUAAAGGGCUCGCAGGCGGUUUCUUAAGUCUGAUGUGAAAGCCCCCGGCUCAACCGGGGAGGGUCAUUGGAAACUGGGGAACUUGAGUGCAGAAGAGGAGAGUGGAAUUCCACGUGUAGCGGUGAAAUGCGUAGAGAUGUGGAGGAACACCAGUGGCGAAGGCGACUCUCUGGUCUGUAACUGACGCUGAGGAGCGAAAGCGUGGGGAGCGAACAGGAUUAGAUACCCUGGUAGUCCACGCCGUAAACGAUGAGUGCUAAGUGUUAGGGGGUUUCCGCCCCUUAGUGCUGCAGCUAACGCAUUAAGCACUCCGCCUGGGGAGUACGGUCGCAAGACUGAAACUCAAAGGAAUUGACGGGGGCCCGCACAAGCGGUGGAGCAUGUGGGUUUAAUUCGAAGCAACGCGAAGAACCUUACCAGGUCUUGACAUCCUCUGACAAUCCUAGAGAUAGGACGUCCCCUUUCGGGGGCAGAGUGAC